CGUUCCCAUCCCGAACACGGAAGUUAAGCCCCUCUGGGCCGAUGAUACUGCACGGGUAGCUGUGUGGGAAAGUAGGUCGCCGCCGGGA
rnacentral:rRNA from 1 species